rnacentral:rRNA from 1 species
UACGUAGGGGGCAAGCGUUGUCCGGAUUUAUUGGGCGUAAAGGGCGCGUAGGCGGCUUGAUGUGUCAAAGGUGAAAUCCCUCGGCUCAACUGAGGAACUGCCUUUGAAACUGUCUGGCUUGAGGCCGGGAGAGGGUAGCGGAAUUCCCAGUGUAGCGGUGAAAUGCGUAGAUACUGGGAGGAACACCGGUGGCGAAGGCGGCUACCUGGACCGGUUCUGACGCUGAUGCGCGAAAGCGUGGGUAGCAAACAGG